GGAGAGGUGCCCGAGUGGUUGAAGGGGGCGGUCUCGAAAACCGCUGUACCCGCAGGGGUACCCAGGGUUCGAAUCCCUGCCUCUCCG
rnacentral:tRNA from 2 species